UUCAACUCAAUGCAGCUCGAAGAGAGUCGCGAAGAAAAACCAAUAAACAACAGAAGGGGAGGCCAUGACUUUCCUUUGGUGAGUUUUCUCUACCCAAUUCAAUUUCCUUUCAAUUUUCAGGUUCUCUUCUCUGCAACCAUGGAGGUUCCCUCAACAGCUCCUCCUAAUCGCCCACGAAUGACUUAUGAUGUUUUCAUAAGUUUCAGAGGGGAAGACACUCGCAACAAUUUCGUCGGAUUUCUGUACGAGGCCUUGCAUCAAUUGGGAAUAAUGACUUUUAUGGACGAUAGGAAGCUCUUGAUCGGGGACGAUCUUAGUGAAAACCUUAUGAAAGCAAUUGAAGAAUCCAGGUCUUCAAUCGUGGUUCUAUCGAAAGACUAUGCUUCUUCCAAGUGGUGCUUGAAAGAGUUAGUCAAGAUAAUGGAUUGUAUGUCUGAGACGACACAUCAAGUUCUUCCUGUGUUUUACCAUGUGGAUCCUUCCCAUGUUCGACAUCAGUCUGGAAAUUUCAAGAAAAGCUUUGAUGAACAUGAAGAAGACGCUAAAAAAAUCACAGGCCAGCAAAAGGAAAAGUACUUGGUGGAGGUUAAGAAUUGGAAGGAUUCCAUGACAAAAAUUGGCAACCUCACGGGAGAAGUUGUUACACAGCACAGCUCUGAAGUAAAUAUCGUAAAGAAAAUUACUAACCAGAUAUUUGAAAGAUGGCGUCCUAAGAUAGCAACUUCAGACAAGAAUUUAGUUGGAAUGACAUAUCAGUUGCUAAAAAUGAAUGUGAAACUUGGUUUAGGAUUGGACGACGUACGCUUUGUAGGGAUUGUUGGGAUGGGUGGCAUCGGUAAAACAACCAUUGCUAAAGUCGUGUAUGACUGCAUCAAAUCUAAUUUUGAGGGUAGUUGUUUUCUUCGUGUUUUUGGAGGUAGUUCUAAGCAAAAUAAUUUAUUGUCACUUCAAGAACAACUACUAUCCAGACUUUUUUUAAAAGAAAACGUUAGAAUGUGGGAUGAGGAUUAUGGAGCAGAAAUGAUCAAGAAUCAACUAUGCAGUAGAAAAGUUCUUCUUGUUCUUGACGGGGUUGAAGAAAAAGAGCAACUAGAAAUGCUAGCUAGAAGUCCCGAUUGGUUUGGUCCAGGGAGUAGAAUUAUCAUUACAACUAGAAACAAAGAAAUUCUCCAUCAACCCUAUGAAAUUAUAGAAUACAAGUUGAAGUUACUAGAUGCUGACAGUGCCCUACAACUCUUCUGCAAUCGUGCCUUUGGAAUCGACUACAUUGAUAGCAAUUUCAUGAAUCUUAGCAAGGAGAUCUUAGAAAAGCUUGGAAGACUUCCAUUAGCUUUGAAAGUAAUUGGAUCCUAUUUGAAUAAAAAGGAAGAGGUAAUAUGGAAGGAAACAUUGUAUAGGCUCAUCAAAGUUGAUGAAAAGAAUUUGUUUGAGGUAUUAAAGAUUAGUUAUGAUGGGUUAGGAGUAGAAAGUCAGAAAGUUUUUCUUGAUUUGGCAUGUUUAUUCCAUGGGAGGAAGAAAGACAAAGUGAUUGAAAUACUUGAGUGCUUUGGUUAUAGCCCUUACAGUGAAUUACAAUUGUUUAUGGAAAGAUGUCUACUUGAAGUUUCACCUACGAAGAUAUUAAUGCAUGAUUUAGUUGUGGCCUUAGGUCAAGAAAUUGUGCAUAGAGAAUCUUUAACUCAACCGGGUAAACAAAGUAGGAUUUGGUUUCAGGAAGAUGUUGAUCGUGUUUUUACUGUGAAACAUGGAUUAAAAUACACUGAAGGCAUAGUCUUAAACUUGGAGAAGAAGCAAAAAGAAUUAAUUUUGGAGGCCAAGUCAUUUACAGAUAUGACCUAUUUAAGAAUAUUGGAAAUUAGCAAUGUGCAGCUUUCUGGAAAUAUCAAUUUUCUCUCAAACCUUUUGGGAUUUAUCAAUUGGCCAGGCUAUCCGUCAAAGUGUUUGCCUCCAAAUUUUCAAUCAAGGUGUUUACUUGAACUGCACCUGCCUCUGAGUAGUAUUGAAAUACUUUGGGAGGGAAAAAAGGACUUUGAGAAACUGAAGGUGAUCGAUGUUAGUGACUCAAAGUAUUUACUUGGGACCCCUGAUUUUUCAAAGGUCCCAAAUCUUGAAAGAUUGGUACUACGUAAUUGUAGAAAAUUGUAUCACAUUCACCCUUCCAUCAAUGAUCUGAAUCGUCUCAGACUUCUGGACCUAAGUAACUGCUCAAGUUUUAAAAGCUUUUCGUCACAUUUGAGAUGCAAAAGUCUCGAAGGUUUAAUUCUUUCUGAAUCAGGUCUUACAAGUUCUCCCAAAUUUGAGGUGAAUAUGGAACACUUGAGUCGACUUCAUCUAGUUGGGACUCCCAUAAAACAACUUCACUCCUCAAUUGGAUGUUUAAUUGGGCUAGUUUUGUUGGACCUGAGAAAUUGUAUUAUGCUUUCUAGUCUUCCAAGUGAAAUUGGUAACUUGAAGUCUCUUCAAGUUCUACUUUUGGAAGGUUGUAAAAGCCUUGACCAAAUUCCGCCGAGUUUGGGAAAUGCACAAUGUUUGGAGUACCUCGACAUUGGUAAAACUUCUAUCUGUCAAGCACCGCCCACUAUUCAUUAUUUAGAGAAUCUUAAAAGAUUAAAUUGCGAAGGGCUAUCACGCAAGAUUUGGCAUUCCUUACUACCUCGCGAUAUUCAAAGAUCAAAUCGACAAAUCUCAGGUUUGGGUUUUGGUUUGAAGUCACUUGAACAUCUCUGUCUAAAAAAUUGCAAUCUAGUGGAUGAAGACAUUCCUGAAGAUCUUCAUUGCUUUUCCUCACUGGAAAGUCUAGACCUCAGUGGAAAUCAUUUUGUACAAUACCCAAAAAGCAUCAAUCACCUUGUGAAUCUAAAACAAUUGAUGUUUCAUGAUUGCUUUAAGUUGCAGCAAAUACCAAAGCCUUCAAUAAAUCUAGAACCCAAGUUCUCUUCAGUUGAAUCUGGAAUGCCUAUUGAUCAAAGCCUUCCUUGUCAGCUUGACAAGCCUUUUAGGCUUGAGUACGGCUCAGAAAUUAAAUCCAAGUUAGACCCGAAGACUUAUGAGGAGCUUAUUUUGGAAAGAGCCACGUUUGGUACUACUUGUGAUAAGGCUGAAAUUUUGGAAUGCUUUGAUGAAAUAAGAGAAGGUAAUUCGGUAGAAGUUGAGUACAAUCAGGUGAAAAAUGAUGCAAACAUUAUCUAUGGAGUUGUCCUCUCAGCUUCUAUUCAAUGCUCUAAGAACACGAGUCAUAAUGAAGUUGAUACAUUUUAUUGCAACUUCUCCAUUGAGUUGGAAACUGAUAUGAACCCUACCAUUACUGUUUUCUAUGGGACAUUUGCGUUGACAUCUAGAAUAAGAUUUUGGACACUAUUUAUACCAUCUCACAAGCUUCCAAAAAGCACAUCAAUGCAAAACUCAUUAUGUAGUUUUAAGGCUACGAUUAAGUAUGAAGUGUCGUCUGUCCAUAUACAAAUGUGUGGUGCCUCUAUACUCUCCCACCAAAAUGCAUCACAAUUUAUGGCAAAAAUGUUCAGUAGGAUGUAUUGCAUUCAGGAAAAAUUCCAGACAUUUAUUGUAGGGGGUAAUCACUGGAGUGAAUGUAAUUGUGAUGAGCCAGAAACUGUGGAACAUAACUAUUUAAUUCAAUUUGUUGAGAAUGAAAGAGACUCAUUUUCAUUAUUGAGAAGGAACCUCAAAUCAAUUCUUCGGAGAACGUAUGAGGAUACAAAGCAUAUUUUUCCAUUUUACUUUUUCCCACAAAACCAAGUUCCAAGUUGGUUUAGAAUCCAGCAACUCAAUGACACAGUGAAAAUGAAGCUCCCUCCAAAUAUGUUUAGAGAGAAGAAAUGGAUGGGAUUGGCCAUGUUUGCUGUCUUUUCGGUAGAGAGGAACUCUGAAUUUGUUAAAGAUCAUCCCUUCAGCUGGCAAAUAGACAUUGAUGAGAAUGGUACAUAUUUAAAGAGAGUAAGAUCAUAUGCAUUUCAUAGCCCUCAUAUGAUUCCUCUGCAGUUAUUAUGGUCUUCAUCUAAAAUACUCUUCAUGAUUUUCAAACCACGAGAGACGUCUCCCUAUGUACAAGAUAAGUCAAAUCAUCUUUAUGUUAAAUUUCUUACUAAUUCUACGAGCUUGAAAGUUGAGCUAUGUGGGGCUCGUCUGGUUUACCAGCACAACGUAGACGGAUUUAUCCACAAAAUUGUGGAUUGUGUGCUAAAGAGUGAACAAAAGCAAUGUCAGAAUUAUAGCCACAAGAUUUUGAGAGACCUUUUAGCAACGUAUCAACAGCCCAUAUGGAAAAAAGUCGCAACAUCUACUUCUAAUAAUCCAACUCAACACCUUUCAACUGAGACAUUAAGACAUGAAAGUUCUCAACGCCCACCCUUCAAGGAGAGGAUUCAGGAUCGGUACAAAAGUAAGUUCAACUCUAUUAUUCAUGGAAAAGAAAUCCCAAAUUUUUUCAUCAGUAGAAGCAUGGGAAACGAGGCAACAAUAAGAAUACCAGAAAUAGUGAAUUUUAUUGAAUAUCAUGUUGGGGUUCUUAUGUGUGCUGUGGUGACCAUAAGCAAGCUGAUAGAAAAACUUGAAAGGAUUCCAGAGCCACAGAGUGGUAUCAAAGUGUUGGAUCUUAAAUGUGAAUUUGGAGUUGAUUCUCAUGAGGUGAAACCGAAGCACCACUUGCUUGUUCCUGCAAAAGUGCUUUUGAGCCAAUGCAGAACAUCAUUCAUUUGGCUCUUUUUCAUACCACUUUCAGCAUUUCAUAUCCCUUUGAAAUAUUGCAAUUACUUUAGGAGUAUGGUUAGUAGCAAUUAUGAGGAAUUAUUAGAUGUGCAACAGUGUGGUCUUCAUCUACUGCAUGCAAGAGAAAGGAAAAUGGUUGACAAUUUUCUCACGACGUCGCAGUUUCUACACCAACAACCAUAACCACAGGCUACGAAAGGUAGGUCGGUGCAUUAGUAUGGUUGUGCAAAAGUUGGGCGUAUCUUGGAAAAGCUGAGUAUUUUGGAUGCCUCGUGUUUUCAUAACAUUCGGUGGAGAAUGGAAUGAUAAUGAAAAAGAUUAUGUCGGCGGUCGUACGAGGGGAUUGACAGUGGAUAGUACAAUCACGUACAGAUAAUUUCUAGGUCACGUGUAUAGAUUGAGUAACAUUAACCCCCUACAGUUUGAUAUUAUAAUUAGACACGUGUAUCAUUUUAAAACCGAAGUUUGUGUGAUGGAAAUAACUAAUGACGAUGAUUUGCGUUUUUUUUU